ensembl:snRNA U2 U2 spliceosomal RNA
AUCGCUUCUCGGCCUUUUGGGUAAGAUCAAGUGUAGUAUCUGUUCUUAUCAGUUCAGAUACGAAAUUGAUCUUUUAAAAGGUGGCGGGUUUUAAUUCGUGAUUUUAAUUGCGUUUUAUUCUGUCUUUUUAGGCCCAGCUCACCCGGACUGGAGGAGGAAGCCCC